CACUCUAAGGGUGACUGCCGGUGACAAACCGGAGGAAGGUGGGGAUGACGUCAAAUCAUCAUGCCCCUUAUGACCUGGGCUACACACGUGCUACAAUGGAUGGAACAAAGGGAAGCAAAACCGCGAGGUCAAGCAAAUCCCAUAAAACCAUUCUCAGUUCGGAUUGCAGGCUGCAACUCGCCUGCAUGAAGCCGGAAUCGCUAGUAAUCGCGGAUCAGCAUGCCGCGGUGAAUACGUUCCCGGGCCUUGUACACACCGCCCGUCACACCACGAGAGUUGGUAACACCCGAAGUCGGUGAGGUAACCUU
rnacentral:rRNA from 1 species